UACAGAGGUCCCGAGCGUUGUUCGGAUUCACUGGGCGUAAAGGGUGCGUAGGUGGCUUGACAAGUUUGAUGUGAAAUCUCCGGGCUUAACCCGGAAAAUGCAUUGAAUACUGUAGAGGCUUGAGGUUUGGAGGGGGGACUGGAAUUCUCGGUGUAGCAGUGAAAUGCGUAGAUAUCGAGAGGAACACCAGUGGCGAAGGCGAGUCCCUGGACAACACCUGACACUGAGGCACGAAAGCGUGGGGAGCGAACGGG
rnacentral:rRNA from 1 species